AACGCUCAAUACACGAAGAGGAAAAUGAGCGUUAACUGUUUUGAUUAAACUUAAUGCCAAGGGGAAAUAUCAGAAACACAUUUUACCACCUUUUUUAUGGACUAAGUCUUCUUUCUGUAACAGAACUGAUGUCUGACAUCGACGUGACCUGUGCCGUAUUGUUGGGGAGUCCACACCUGUCUUUAAUUGCCUCCUGUCAUCAACACCUGCGUUAUGAACUGAAACCUCACAGGACAGACAGAAAGGAGAUCGAAUGGACACCAAGAACACUUUUAAAGUUCUCCAAAGUGCAUAUUUGAAGACAAGGAGGGACGUAGACCUUCAGGAAAACGCCUAAAAGUACCUGUUGACCUGUGAAUGAGGAGAGUUAGCAGUGUAUUGGCUGUGACGGAGAGCAGAGCAGAGAGACACACAUUCAGCAGGAGGGAGGAAGCGCAACUUCAGCUGCAAGCAAACCAAUUCUAAAACCUUCAUGCAGGAAAAAAAAUGUGAAAUGAGCUGAUUCAAAAACAUCCCCUCCAUCCCUCCACACACUAGGGUAAUACAUCUUCUUCAACAAAAGCACCCAUGAAUACAAAUCCUGAAGGGCCCUCUAUAAAAUUGCAUAUCCUGACAGCAGCAUGUCUUAUGCACAAUGUAACGUCCUUAUGCUUUGUACAUGUGAAGCAUUAUCUUUACGAGGCGAGUGAAUACUCUCUCAACAUUGUCAAAAAAUAAA